rnacentral:rRNA from 1 species
UACGAAGGGGGCUAGCGUUGCUCGGAAUUACUGGGCGUAAAGCGUGCGCAGGCGGUUUGUUAAGUCUGCUGUGAAAUCCCCGAGCUCAACUUGGGAAUUGCAGUGGAUACUGGCAAGCUGGAGUACGGUAGAGGAAGGUGGAAUUCCCGGUGUAGCAGUGAAAUGCGUAGAGAUCGGGAGGAACACCAGUGGCGAAGGCGGCCUUCUGGACCAGUACUGACGCUCAUGCACGAAAGCGUGGGGAGCAAAAAGG